GGAGGGAGGGGGGAGGAUACUCCCAGGACAUCAAGCCUAGAGCAUCAUCGGGUGCGCCGGACUUGUAAACAAAUCGCAAAUGUACUUUGAUUCUUUCCGUUAGACUUCAGUUACCCCACGCAGACUGGACACAUUAAGAGUGAAGGCCCAGAUUGUUGUGAGAGAUUGCCGGAAUAGUAAGGACAAAGGUCAUCAUCACCUUCAGAUAAUUGAAACAACUCUAUGCAUCUGGCAUUGGUCACUGUUGGAGACAGGAUACUGGACUAGAUGAAAUAUUGGUCUGUUCCAGUGUUGCAAUCCUAUGUUCCUGUCUCUCUGGUGGGCUAGCAUCCUGUGAUAUCCUUCCAGCUGGUAAUAUGCCCAGGACAAAGUUUUAGCACCAUCAACCUCCCGAGCUGCCUGCGACCUCAACGCAGUAUUACCAAAAUUAAGCUGUUUGAAUGCAACAAGUGUUUGGGAAUGUGCUGUGUGCUUCUGUGAGGGUGCCAGAGUGUACGAGAAAUGGGGAGGGGAUUUUUCAGAACUUUGCAAGUGACACAUGGAAGAUCCCACCCCCAUGCUUCUCAGGGAAACACAAAUGAACAUUGAAACUGUGUAGGACAUGUUUACAUUAACCAUCCACAUUUAUGUUAACUUCAGAAAAACUCUAGGGAUUCAGUUCCUUUGGUACAAAUGCAGCUAUUGUUAUCCCUUAACCCACCACCCAGUACACUUAGUGCAAGAGAAAGCUAGAGGCAGAAGCCAAACACAAUAGGAAUCAGAGUAAAACUUGUCUCUGGAGUUGUUUGAUUUCAUUUUUAAUCGGAUGGCUUCAAUUUCUCAGGUUAGUUUCAGAGACUGCCCUUGUUCUAUCUGCUCACACUAGAUGCACAAAGAGUUUCAGGCCAUUCAUUCAUGGUGCAGGUUCCCUUCAGUCUGCAGCAAGAAUGUUUACUCCUAGUUCCGGUUAGUUGCCAAUCAGAGCAUUAGCCAAUUGCUGGCUAUGUCCUUAUAGGGAGGUUAUGUGUUUUGUGGGCUAAAAUGAGCAUAUAAAUUCUGUCAGGCAAGUCAGCAAACUCCUGAUCUUAUUUACAUCUGACAGAAUUUGAAAAUGUUCUGGUAUGACAAAUUAAGUCUUGGGGCUCUGGUCCUUACCCCAAAGAGCUGUGUGUUUGUGGAGGAGUGGGAAGGGGGAAAGCAGAGUUUCUUGAAUAUUUAGCAUUUGUUAAGCACAAGCAUGUUAGUGUGGUGGGUGUGUUAAUAAGAAAAAUGACCAUGGCAGUUUUAUUAGUGCAUAUAUGCCCCGAAAAUAGCUUAUAGAUUGUUCUUUCACUGGCUUCUUUGAGAGUCUCUCCUGAUUUAUGAGGGUAGGAUAAAAUAUGUAUCAUUUGGCUAUGAGAUGACUGUGUGGGGGGCUGUGAUAACAGUUUAAAAUAUUUCAAGGGUCUAAGCACUGAGAUGAAGGGGAAUUGUUUAGUGAAGCACAAGGGUGAAUAACGAAGAGACAAAGGAGGAGAUAUAGGAAAAGAAAAUGUAGCCUAUCAGGAAAAAUGUCACAUUGGUAGAUCUAUUAGGCUGUUGCUGGUCCCCUAAGGGAAAUAGUGGGAGUGAGAUAUUUCAAAAUAGAUGGGGGCAAAGAACUAGAAAAUGUGCAAUCAGAAACAAUCCUGCACAAUCAGAACCAAUCAGCUGUAUUCUGUAUUUCUUUUCUUCCCUUUCUAACCUCUGUGAUUUUCUUCCCCCAAUUAUUUCUCUUCUCUAAUCCCUGAUAUUUGUAGGAAUUGCCAUACUUGAUCAGACAUACAGUCUAUCUAACCCAGUAUCUCUCUCCCCCUUUGCCCUGUCUGUCUUCUCCUUGUUCUCUGUCCUUCCUGUAGCCUUUUCUCUCCCUGCUGCUCCAUGGUUAUCCCCCGUCUACACUGUCCCGUUUCCUUGAUUCACUCUUCCCCUCCAAUUCUUUUGGCCUUUAUCAGUUUCCUGUUGUGUAGCAUUGCUGGGUUCCUGUGUGAUAGCCCAUUAACAGUAGUACUUUGCUUUAGGAUGUAUGGGUGAAAAAUGCUCUUUGCAAAAGAGGGUAAGUGUCAUUAUCCCUAUUUUGAAACAUGGGGAAACUGAGGCACAGAGCGGUAAAGGGAUUUGCUCAAAAUCACACAAGGAGGUCAAUGGCAGAGCGGGGAAUGGAAUUACUCAGGUCACCUGAGUCCCAGGCCAAUGCCUCCUCCACUGGACUAUGCUGCUUGUACUACUGUGACCCAUUUGAGUUGCACCUUAGUCCUGAAGCACAUGGGCAGAAUGAAGAGGGCGUUAUCAUGAGAGAACUCCCCAGGUAUUGGGCAGAGCAAGGGAACGGUGUUGUCAUGUUUCAGGCCAUUUAAAGAUAGUAGUUAGGGACUUGGGGAAAUGACAGGUGGGGGGAACCUAGAGAGCUUUCCUCCCAUACCCCUCUUAAUAAAUGCAUAUGUUAUUGUUACCAUUUCUUUUAACAAAUAAACAAGGCAGCUGUAGCCUUAUUUACCAAGUAAGGAAAUCUGUAUAAAACAUUCCCCAGAUUUGAAGUAAUCGUGUUUUUCAAGAGAAUAUAUUAAAAAAAAAAGUUGGUACAUAGUGUCUUCUCCUAAGUCCAGGAAGGCACACACAUUUAUUUCCCAGUAGCAGCACACUGCGUACUGACUGUAACUAGGUGAGAAUACUAAACAGACCCAGUUUCCCCACUGGCUUCUAAAAAACAGGGAUAAAUUCCUCUGCAGAGAGAAGACAGAUGGGGUGGGCAUUGCUAAAAACCUGGCUUCCCUGUAUCAGAAAACUAUGCAAAUCCAAAGGCUCAGAGCAUGGACGAUUGUUAAUGAAUUAUUAGUAUUAUUGAGAUGUUGCCAUUCUUUGCCAGUAGUACAGAGGGCUGGCAGAAAUCGUAUCCAUAUUGGGAGGUACAGUAUUUUUACGAAGGUAGCAACCUAUCCUUCAUCUGAUGAAUAAUGCACAUUUUCUCCUGCCAGGUGGGGGAGUCAGGACAUUGUUAGUGGUGGUAGGGAGACAGAGGAAUGAGCUGAGAGUGGUGGAUGGUGAUUGAGAGCUAGCCUAUUGCGCAGGGGUAAUUCAUAAAGAGAGUUACGCAUUCUGUGCGAGUUCAGAAUAGACUGUGUUGUCUACAGAGAAAUCAAAAGCUUCCAUUCGGGGUUUGGAAAUCAAACCAUUGCAAGGAAGCAUCUAACAACAAUGAAGAAUUGCAGCGGUUCUCAUUUUAUUUUACUAACAGUACAUCUGGAUGGCACCUUGCAUGGCACAGGGUGCCAAUGAGCCUUAUAGACAGAUGGGGCCUGAUUAGCCAUGUUUGUGUCCCCUGAUCCAGCAGCCAUUCAAUCCAAGGCCUGUCUCCUUGCCCAAAUUAGAACAGCUGGAGAUUGCUGUAACUUGUGCAAUCAAUGGCAGCUAGGGAUCAGAGGAGUACAGGGAUGCCCCGACCAUGACCCCUUUCCCCAGCCAUGACUUCUGAGCCACAGGAAGGACAGUAGAUAGAACCUAUCAUGGUGGCUCCAUAUCCAAUAUGGUUUCCCCUACCCUCCUAAGCUGGGAGUAGAGAGUGGAAUCUGGCCCACAGAGUUUCACACCCACUUUGUAGUGGUGUGACCAAGUUACACACAAGGUGCAGGGCAAUGGAGAAUCAAGCCCAGCGCACAGAGUGAAACGUGUCUUUGAUGAUUCAGAGGAAUAGCAAAAAUUGGCUGCCCAGUGAAGCUGGAUCUUUAAUUAAAAGGAUGAAUGAAAGACUUUAAAGUGGAUGGGCUGCUUUAAAGUGAUUGGUGUGUCCCUAUAAUAGUUGCCCCUUAUUGCAUGUUUCAUGUAUAUUAUAGGCUGGGUUGGUAGCACCACCAAUUAUUAAAGUUGCCUGACACUUCCUAUUAUAAGAGCCUGUUUUCAGUUGCUUAUAACUUUGCCUGCAUACCACCAUUUCGGCUGAUUUUUUUCUGUGCCAUGUGUCUGCCUCAGGUUGAAUUACUCUGGAAAAUUUCAGCUGAAAUGAUUGUCAUUUCCAAGAAUGAAGCUGGGAAAAAUACAUAGUUGUGUCCAUGUUAAAAAAUUCCUGGUGACAUUUUUCUUUGAAAAGCUCUAAUGCCCUCAUGCUUUGGAUCCAUGACUUGAAAUUUGGUAGGGAAGUGGCUUUCUUUCACGGAGGUGCCUUUUGCCAUUACUAUGAAAACCUGCCCAAAUUUGGCCAAGUCAUAAGCCUUUGGAAAAUUGCAGUUCACACGUGCUCAGUAGAGACUUGCUACUGCCUCGCAGCAAAAAUCAUCAAAGGUUCCAACCACACUAGGCAUGCUCCAGCCCAGGACAGGCAGAACUUUCCCUGUGAUUGUAGCCCUGGGCUUCUGCAGGCCAUGCUAGGUCCAGGUCCCUGAACUGAGAGUGGGGAGCCUGUCUCUCCUGUGCUCUCAAUAAGCUCCCUGCUGCAUAGGCGCCGACUCUGUGGAUGCUCCGGGGCUGGAGCACCCGCGGGGAAAAAUUAGUGGGUGUUCUGCACCCCCUGGCAGCCAAACUCCCCACCCCGUCCCCCUGCCUCACCACCUCCUCCUCCUCCUUUGCCUCCUCCCAGCAUGCCAAGUCUCCACUCCUCCCUCCCUCCCAGCGCUUGCCGCCGCCAAACAGCUCUAGCAAGCUCGG